CCUACGGGAGGCAGCAGUGGGGAAUUUUUGGACAAUGGGCGCAAGCCUGAUCCAGCAAUGCCGCGUGAGUGAAGAAGGCCUUCGGGUUGUAAAGCUCUUUUGUCAGGGAAGAAACGGUUGAGGCUAAUAUCCUCGGCUAAUGGCGGUACCUGAAGAAUAAGCACCGGCUAACUACGUGCCAGCAGCCGCGGUAAUACGUAGGGUGCAAGCGUUAAUCGGAAUUACUGGGCGUAAAGCGUGCGCAGGCGGUUUUGUAAGUCUGUCGUGAAAGCCCCGGGCUUAACCUGGGAAUUGCGAUGGAGACUGCAAGGCUUGAAUCUGGCAGAGGGGGGGUAGAAUUCCACGUGUAGCAGUGAAAUGCGUAGAGAUGUGGAGGAACACCGAUGGCGAAGGCAGCCCCCUGGGUCAAGAUUGACGCUCAUGCACGAAAGCGUGGGGAGCAAACAGGAUUAGAUACCCUGGUAGUCCACGCCCUAAACGAUGUCUACUAGUUGUCGGGUCUUAAUUGACUUGGUAACGCAGCUAACGCGUGAAGUAGACCGCCUGGGGAGUACGGUCGCAAGAUUAAAACUCAAAGGAAUUGACGG
rnacentral:rRNA from 1 species